rnacentral:rRNA from 1 species
GUGGGGAAUCUUGCGCAAUGGGCGAAAGCCUGACGCAGCCAUGCCGCGUGAAUGAUGAAGGUCUUAGGAUUGUAAAAUUCUUUCACCGGGGACGAUAAUGACGGUACCCGGAGAAGAAGCCCCGGCUAACUUCGUGCCAGCAGCCGCGGUAAUACGAAGGGGGCUAGCGUUGCUCGGAAUUACUGGGCGUAAAGGGAGCGUAGGCGGAUAGUUCAGUCAGAGGUGAAAGCCCAGGGCUCAACCUUGGAAUUGCCUUUGAUACUGGCUGUCUUGAGUGUGGGAGAGGUUAGCGGAACGCCGAGUGUAGAGGUGAAAUUCGUAGAUAUUCGGAAGAACACCAGUGGCGAAGGCGGCUAACUGGCCCAUUACUGACGCUGAGGCUCGAAAGCGUGGGGAGCAAACAGGAUUAGAAACCCCUGUAGUCC